CCUUGGGGUGAGAAAAAGCAAAGCAAACAAGCUUGCUUCACCAAAGAAAAAGUCUCAGACUCAGAUAAAAAUACUAAGGACUAGAGAAGUUAAGAAAGUUGCCCAAGGUCAAGCUGUUGACACUAAGAAUGCAGCAAUGAACAAGAAACCUGAAGUUCCUGCCCUCGUGAAGCUGGGAAAAGAGGACAAUAAGCAAACCACUUAGUACAUCACUUGUCAUCUUGAUGAAAGUCAUCUUUCUAGACCUCGCUUUGCUCUCUAUACAACUAGAAAGUUGAAGAAAUAAUUUUAUAUGAUGUAUCCAAACUUUUGAAGAAUUGCAAGAAAACAGGCAUAGUCUGACAUUUGAGUCUUGUAUUUAAAACUGCAAACCAGACGGGUGCCUGGGUGGUUCAGUCGGUUAAUUAAGCCUCUGACUCCUGGUUUUGGCU